rnacentral:rRNA from 1 species
UACGUAGGGUCCGAGCGUUGUCCGGAAUUACUGGGCGUAAAGAGCUCGUAGGCGGUUUGUCGCGUUGUUCGUGAAAACUCACAGCUCAACUGUGGGCGUGCGGGCGAUACGGGCGGACUGGAGUACUGCAGGGGAGACUGGAAUUCCUGGUGUAGCGGUGGAAUGCGCAGAUAUCAGGAGGAACACCGGUGGCGAAGGCGGGUCUCUGGGCAGUAACUGACGCUGAGGAGCGAAAGCGUGGGGAGCGAACAGG